rnacentral:miRNA from 1 species
GCCGCUGAGUGGGGAGGAGAGAGGGACAGAGAGCCUGCUUCUUUAAAGGAGCAAAGCGGGAGAGGAGGGGAGCCGCUUACACGAGUGUAAGCGGCUCCUGUCCGGUUGGUUCCUUUAAAGCAAGCAGGCUUUCUGUCCCUCCUCCCCACUCAGCUC